AGCGAACGCUGGCGGCAGGCUUAACACAUGCAAGUCGAGCGGGCAUAGCAAUAUGUCAGCGGCAGACGGGUGAGUAACGCGUGGGAACGUACCUUUUGGUUCGGAACAACACAGGGAAACUUGUGCUAAUACCGGAUAAGCCCUUACGGGGAAAGAUUUAUCGCCGAAAGAUCGGCCCGCGUCUGAUUAGCUAGUUGGUGAGGUAAUGGCUCACCAAGGCGACGAUCAGUAGCUGGUCUGAGAGGAUGAUCAGCCACAUUGGGACUGAGACACGGCCCAAACUCCUACGGGAGGCAGCAGUGGGGAAUAUUGGACAAUGGGCGCAAGCCUGAUCCAGCCAUGCCGCGUGAGUGAUGAAGGCCCUAGGGUUGUAAAGCUCUUUUGUGCGGGAAGAUAAUGACGGUACCGCAAGAAUAAGCCCCGGUUAACUUCGUG
rnacentral:rRNA from 1 species